GACGUAGGGCGCGAGCGUUGUCCGGAUUUAUUGGGCGUAAAGGGCGCGUAGGCGGCUUGGCAAGUGGAAGGUGAAAUCCCUCGGCUUAACCGAGGAACUGCCCUCCAAACUGCUUUGCUUGAGGCCGGGAGAGGUGAGUGGAAUUCCCAGUGUAGCGGUGAAAUGCGCAGAUAUCAGGAGGAACACCGAUGGCGAAGGCGGCUCACUGGCCCGGUACUGACGCUGAGGCACGAAAGCGUGGGGAGCAAACAGG
rnacentral:rRNA from 1 species